rnacentral:rRNA from 1 species
UACGUAGGUGGCUAGCGUUGUCCGGAUUUACUGGGCGUAAAGAGCGCGCAGGCGGUCGUUCAAGUCGAGUGUGAAAGCCCCCGGCUCAACUGGGGAGGGUCACUCGAUACUGAUCGACUCGAAGGCAGGAGAGGGAAGCGGAAUUCCCGGUGUAGUGGUGAAAUGCGUAGAUAUCGGGAGGAACACCUGUGGCGAAAGCGGCGCACUGGACCAUAACUGACGCUGAUGCGCGAAAGCUAGGGGAGCAAACAGG